rnacentral:rRNA from 1 species
UAUUGGACAAUGGGCGAAAGCCUGAUCCAGCCAUGCCGCGUGUGUGAAGAAGGUCUUCGGAUUGUAAAGCACUUUAAGUUGGGAGGAAGGGCAGUAAGCGAAUACCUUGCUGUUUUGACGUUACCGCCAGAAUAAGCACCGGCUAACUCUGUGCCAGCAGCCGCGGUAAUACAGAGGGUGCAAGCGUUAAUCGGAAUUACUGGGCGUAAAGCGCGCGUAGGUGGUUUGUUAAGUUGGAUGUGAAAGCCCCGGGCUCAACCUGGGAACUGCAUCCAAAACUGGCAAGCUAGAGUAGGGCAGAGGGUGGUGGAAUUUCCUGUGUAGCGGUGAAAUGCGUAGAUAUAGGAAGGAACACCAGUGGCGAAGGCGACCACCUGGGCUCAUACUGACACUGAGGUGCGAAAGCGUGGGGAGCAAACAGG